AUUUUAUAAACAGUACACUAACUAAAGGCCACUAAUAAUUUUUAUACAUAAAGUUACAAAUUAUAAACUUUAGUACACGAACUUAGAAUUCCGACCCAUUAUCUAGACACGACGUCAUUAACACCGUUACUCUUAUGCCAUUACUCACUUGCCAGAGGGUAAUUUAGUACUUUUACCUCUCUCUGACUUUGACUCUCUCUCUCUCCAUCCAUGGCCGUGACUGGAACUCAGUUAUUGCAGACUUGGCUUGGAGUGGUAACUCCAUCAAAUCCCUCCGAGCCUUUUCUUGAAUGCGAAAGCUCUCUCAGACCCUAUCGCUCCUCCUUUCCUUGUGCCAUCAAAUCCUGCUCGGCUCUAUUGGAUCUUCACUCUGGCAGUUCGGAUCAGUUUUGAUUCCGAUGUAGAGUGUCUGACAUCCUGGUAUAAGAAGUGAUGACGAGACCGAAGGUGUUGGUAGGAUAACGACCGAUGAUCGCUGACUGGAAGAAGAAGAUGAUGAUGAUGGAGGAAGAAGUAGAUCAAAUCUAGAGUAAGAAGAAGAUGACAAAGAAAGCGGAGGAAUGGAUUCAUGAUUUAUCAUCCCAUUUGCUGUUAGCGUUCUGUACUUUUCUGGAAAUUUCUUGGCUCCUUCUCAACUCAAGUUUGUGGUUGAUUAAGCCUUGUCUCAUAUGUUGAGAAACAGAGAUGAAUCAAGUUCCCACAGUUCUUAUUCAAUGGUUCCAUCAUGAGCUUUGGCAUAUGAUUGCAAAUUGAUAUAACCUCCUGGAAAUAAGAAUUGUGCCCAAUUUUAUUUUAUUUUUA